AGAGUUUGAUCCUGGCUCAGAACGAACGCUGGCGGCGUGGUUUAGGCAUGCAAGUCGAACGAGAAAGCCCCCUUCGGGGGGUGAGUACAGUGGCAAACUGGUGAGUAACGCGUGGGCAACGUGCCUCUAUGUCGGGAAUAACACUCCUAACGGGGUGCUAAUACCGGAUGUGGAUACGAGAACGCAUGUUCAUGUAUCUAAAGAUGGCCUCUCCUUGGAAGCUGUCGCAUAGAGAUCGGCCCGCGUCCCAUUAGCUUGUUGGUGGGGUCAUGGCCUACCAAGGCGAUGAUGGGUAGCCGGCCUGAGAGGGUGACCGGCCACACUGGGACUGAGAUACGGCCCAGACUCCUACGGGAGGCAGCAGUCGAGAAUCAUCCACAAUGGGGGAAACCCUGAUGGUGCAACGCCGCGUGCGGGAUGAAGGCCGUAAGGUCGUAAACCGCUGUCAGUAGGGAAGAACGGCCCGGUGUGAACAGCACCGGGAUCUGACGGUACCUACAGAGGAAGCUCCGGCUAACUCCGUGCCAGCAGCCGCGGUAAUACGGGGGGAGCAAGCGUUGUUCGGAAUUACUGGGCGUAAAGGGCUUGUAGGCGGCCCAACCAGUCGGGGGUGAAAGGCCACAGCUUACCUGUGGAUCUGCCUUCGAUACUAUUGGGCUUGAGGGCGGGAGAGGAGAGCGGAAUUCCCGGUGGAGCGGUGAAAUGCGUAGAUAUCGGGAAGAACACCAGUGGCGAAGGCGGCUCUCUGGACCGUUCCUGACGCUAAGCAGCGAAAGCCAGGGGAGCGAACGGGAUUAGAUACCCCGGUAGUCCUGGCCGUAAACGAUGGGCACUAGGUGUGGGAGGUAUCGACCCCUUCCGUGCCGCAGCUAACGCAUUAAGUGCCCCGCCUGGGGAUUACGAUCGCAAGGUUGAAACUCAAAGGAAUUGACGGGGGCCCGCACAAGCGGUGGAGCAUGUGGUUUAAUUCGAUACAACGCGAAGAACCUUACCGGGGCUUGACAUGCAGUGGACCGUCGUGGAAACACGACUUCUCUUCGGAGCCGCUGCACAGGUGCUGCAUGGCUGUCGUCAGCUCGUGUCGUGAGAUGUUGGGUUAAGUCCCGCAACGAGCGCAACCCUCGCGCCUAGUUGCCAUCAAUUCGGUUGGGCACUCUAGGGGGACUGCCGGCGAUAAGCUGGAGGAAGGUGGGGAUGACGUCAAGUCCUCAUGCCCCUUACGCCCCGGGCUACACACGUGCUACAAUGGCCGGUACAGAGGGAUGCAAUACCGCGAGGUGGAGCAAAUCCCAGAAAGCCGGUCUCAGUUCAGAUUGCAGUCUGCAACUCGACUGCAUGAAGGCGGAAUCGCUAGUAAUCGCGGAUCAGCAGGCCGCGGUGAAUACGUUCCCGGGCCUUGUACACACCGCCCGUCAAGCGAUGGAAGCGGGGGGCACCCGAAGUGGCCGAGCCAACCCUUUGGGGGGGCAGGUCCCGAAGGUGAAAUCCGUGACUGGCGCUAAGUCGUAACAAGGUA
rnacentral:rRNA from 1 species